CCAGACUCCUACGGGAGGCAGCAGUGGGGGAUAUUGCACAAUGGAGGAAACUCUGAUGCAGCGACGCCGCGUGAAGGAAGAAGGCUUUCGGGUUGUAAACUUCUUUUCUCAGGGACGAAGAAAGUGACGGUACCUGAGGAAUAAGCCACGGCUAACUACGUGCCAGCAGCCGCGGUAAUACGUAGGUGGCAAGCGUUAUCCGGAUUUACUGGGUGUAAAGGGCGUGUAGGCGGGACUGCAAGUCAGAUGUGAAAACCACGGGCUCAACCUGUGGCCUGCAUUUGAAACUGUUUUUCUUGAGUACUGGAGAGGCAGACGGAAUUCCUAGUGUAGCGGUGAAAUGCGUAGAUAUUAGGAGGAACACCAGUGGCGAAGGCGGUCUGCUGGACAGCAACUGACGCUGAGGCGCGAAAGCGUGGGGAGCAAACAGGAUUAGAUACCCUAGUA
rnacentral:rRNA from 1 species